GGGGGAUAUUGCACAAUGGGGGAAACCCUGAUGCAGCAACGCCGCGUGAGUGAAGAAGGCCUUCGGGUCGUAAAACUCUGUUAUAAGGGAAGAAUAAUGACGGUACCUUAAGAGGAAGCCCCGGCUAACUACGUGCCAGCAGCCGCGGUAAUACGUAGGGGGCAAGCGUUAUCCGGAAUCACUGGGCGUAAAGGGUGCGUAGGCGGUUUCUUAAGUCAGAGGUGAAAGGCUACGGCUCAACCGUAGUAAGCCUUUGAAACUGGGGAACUUGAGUGCAGGAGAGGAGAGUGGAAUUCCUAGUGUAGCGGUGAAAUGCGUAGAUAUUAGGAGGAACAUCAGUGGCGAAGGCGACUCUCUGGACUGCAACUGACGCUGAUGCACGAAAGCGUGGGGAGCGAAC
rnacentral:rRNA from 1 species